GAACCUCUCGGGGUUACAGCCUUGCUGAAUUAUUCACCCUUGUCUUUUGCGUACUUCUUGUUUCCUUGGUGGGUUCGCCCACCACUAGGACAAACAUAAACCUUUUGUAAUUGCAAUCAGCGUCAGUAACAAAUUAAUAAUUACAACUUUCAACAACGGAUCUCUUGGUUCUGGCAUCGAUGAAGAACGCAGCGAAAUGCGAUAAGUAGUGUGAAUUGCAGAAUUCAGUGAAUCAUCGAAUCUUUGAACGCACAUUGCGCCCUUUGGUAUUCCAAAGGGCAUGCCUGUUCGAGCGUCAUUUGUACCCUCAAGCUUUGCUUGGUGUUGGGCGUCUUGUCUCUAGCUUUGCUGGAGACUCGCCUUAAAGUAAUUGGCAGCCGGCCUACUGGUUUCGGAGCGCAGCACAAGUCGCACUCUCUAUCAGCAAAGGUCUAGCAUCCAUUAAGCCUUUUUUUCAACUUUUGACCUCGGAUCAGGUAGGGAUACCCGCUGA
rnacentral:rRNA from 1 species